UUUUCUUUAGAGAAAAUCCGGGAGCAAAUACCUUCUGGUUUCACUUAAACUAACGGGCCCUGGCCUACCCAGUCAUUGCUGAAAAAAUACAUUUUCUCUUCCUUGAGCUGAAAAGGGGUCUAGUGUCCGCCUUGCCCUACGUGUUCCUCUUAGGGCUGAAACACUGCAGAAGACAAAGGGCAGAGAAGGUUGGCCGAGCGAGGCCAGGGACUGGAGGCUUUGUUAAGCCCCCAAAUAGGGCCCAGGGAACACAGGGCUCUGGCCACUUAAGGCCAUUGCCUGGAGCACUGAGAGACAAGAGACCUGGGAGUGGGAAGAAGCCAGAUGUGGGCCUGGGGCCUGGGCCUCUCAGGGGAGGCACCACCUGCUCUUGGGAGGCCACGUGAAGUGUUAUCUCUGUAAGUCUGGUUUUACAACUGUCCAUUGAGAGCAGCAGCCAAGAACUUUGAAGGGAACAGUGCUGCGGUGUGAGUGUGGACUUCCUCUCUGUCCCUGUCACUGCCACCGGCAGCAGGUUCCCAGUGAGCUGCUGGGUGGUGGUGGGGUGAUCCUACAGAACCCAACUCUGGCCCUGACAUCAGAGCUCAGGAAGAAGAAGAAAACAAGUAGGAGAGUCAGCACCCUUCCUCGUCAAUGGCAGUCAGGACUACCCUACCAAGAACUCCUUAAGGAACUCCUACUCGUCGUAAUUUAUAAAUUGUACAUAGCAUCAUAAUUUAUACUGUAAGGAUCUUGAGGUUGUUCUUCGGCAGAACUCUUUGCCUUUGGAGGAUUCAUACACUCAUGAAUUUACUCAAGAAAUAAUUUUGAGUACCUGCCAUGCCAGACUCUGUGCUAAACGAAGAUAAACAGAUGGCUGAGGCAAACAGAUCCUCACACUCCCUUCUAGUAGAAGAGGCCAGCAAUACAAAAAUAGGCCAAAUAGGCAAGUCAAAUGGGAAUGCGGUGAGAAUCACCACCUCUGCAUCUUUCAAGUCUUUGAUGGUGGCACUCGGCUCUACAGUCCCUCCAGGAAUGAGUAGGAUGUGGCGAACACAGGAUGCUGCAGAAAGUAGCUGCAGUCCAGCCAGAGCCUUUGUCUGAACUUCAUCUCUGACCUCCCAUUUGUGCUAAGAUUGAAAGACUUUCUGCGUAUUUACUACCAGCGUUGGAGUUCACAGCUGUUACCCAUAAUAACACAUGUGUUGAAAGAGGUGG